UUACGGCCAUAUCACGUUGAAACAUCGGUUCCCCCACGAUCACAGAAGUUAAGCAACAUCGAGCCUGGUCGAUACCUAGAUAGAUGAGCGCUUGGGAAUACCAGGAGCUAU